rnacentral:rRNA from 1 species
AUUGAACGCUGGCGGCAUGCCUUACACAUGCAAGUCGAACGGCAGCACGGGGCAACCUGGUGGCGAGUGGCGAACGGGUGAGUAAUGCAUCGGAACGUACCUUUCAGUGGGGGAUAACGUAGCGAAAGUUACGCUAAUACCGCAUAUUCUGUGAGCAGGAAAGCAGGGGAUCGCAAGACCUUGCGCUGAUUGAGCGGCCGAUGUCAGAUUAGCUAGUUGGUGAGGUAAAGGCUCACCAAGGCGACGAUCUGUAGCGGGGCUGAGAGGAUGAUCCGCCGCACUGGAACUGAGACACGGUCCAGACUCCUACGGGAGGCAGCAGUGGGGAAUUUUGGACAAUGGUGGCAACCCUGAUCCAGCCAUGCCGCGUGAGUGAAGAAGGCCUUCGGGUUGUAAAGCUCUUUCGGCCGGGAAGAAAUCGCACGGGCUAAUACCCUGUGUGGAUGACGGUACCGGAAUAAGAAGCACCGGCUAACUACGUGCCAGCCGCCGCCGCAGUAA